rnacentral:rRNA from 1 species
UUCUUGAAUCUAAAAUGAGAAGUAAUUCCUGCCCAGUGACAUAUAGUUCAACGGCCGCGGUAUCCUAACCGUGCAAAGGUAGCAUAAUCACUUGCCCAUUAAUUGUGGGCUAGAAUGAACGGACUAACGAAAUAAAGACUGUCUCUAUAAGCGAAAUAAAAAUUAAUCUCUAACUGAAGACUGUUAGAUACAAUCGAAGGACAAGAAGACCCUAUAGAGCUUUAUUUAAACAAAAAACUUUUUUCUGUAAAAUUCGGUUGGGGCGACCAGGGAAUAUACAUCAUCCCCUAUAAUAAGAUAAAUUAAUCUAUUUUUUGACCCUUAAUUUAAGAUCACUAGAAUAAGCUACCUUAGGGAUAACAGGCUAAUCCUACUAAAGAGUCCUUAUCAAUAGUGGGGGUUGGCACCUCGAUGUUGGCUUAGGGAAUCUAUGUGGCGCAAAAGUCACAUAAAGAUGGUUUGUUCAACCAAUAACACCCUACAUGAGCUGAGUUCAGACCGGCGUAAGCCAGGUUAGCUUCUAUCCUCGACAACCUAAUCUAUUUAUAGUACGAAAGGACCUAAAUAAGAGUAAUAUUUACUAAUAAACGAUCAAAUAUAAUAUAUAUUGACCCCCUAAAUACAAAAACUAUG